AUUGAACGCUGGCGGCAUGCCUUACACAUGCAAGUCGAACGGUAACAGGUCUUCGGAUGCUGACGAGUGGCGAACGGGUGAGUAAUACAUCGGAACGUGCCUAGUAGUGGGGGAUAACUACUCGAAAGAGUGGCUAAUACCGCAUGAGAUCUACGGAUGAAAGCAGGGGACCGCAAGACCUUGUGCUACUAGAGCGGCCGAUGGCAGAUUAGGUAGUUGGUGGGAUAAAAGCUUACCAAGCCGACGAUCUGUAGCUGGUCUGAGAGGACGAUCAGCCACACUGGGACGGAGACACGGCCCAGACUCCUACGGGAGGCAGCAGUGGGGAAGUUUGGACAAUGGGCGAAAGCCUGAUCCAGCAAUGCCGCGUGCAGGAUGAAGGCCUUCGGGUUGUAAACUGCUCUUGUACGGAACGAAAAGCCCCGGGUUAAUACCCUGGGGUCAUGACGGUACCGUAAGAAUAAGCACCGGCUAACUACGUGCCAGCCGCCGCCGUAA
rnacentral:rRNA from 1 species